rnacentral:rRNA from 2 species
GAGUUUGAUCCUGGCUCAGAUUGAACGCUGGCGGCAUGCCUUACACAUGCAAGUCAAACGGCAGCACGGGAGCUUGCUCCUGGUGGCGAGUGGCGAACGGGUGAGUAAUGCAUCGGAACGUAUCCUGGAGUGGGGGAUAACGUAGCGAAAGUUACGCUAAUACCGCAUAUUCUGUGAGCAGGAAAGCGGGGGACCUUCGGGCCUCGCGCUCUUGGAGCGGCCGAUGUCGGAUUAGCUAGUUGGUGAGGUAAAGGCUCACCAAGGCGACGAUCCGUAGCAGGUCUGAGAGGAUGAUCUGCCACACUGGAACUGAGACACGGUCCAGACUCCUACGGGAGGCAGCAGUGGGGAAUUUUGGACAAUGGGGGCAACCCUGAUCCAGCCAUGCCGCGUGAGUGAAGAAGGCCUCGGUUGUAAG